rnacentral:tRNA from 1 species
GGGCUCGUGGGGUAGCCAGGAUAUCCUAAUGGGCUUCGAAGUAAAGUUGUUUACGAAGAUACCCAUUGACUCGUGUUCGAAUCGCGGCGGGCCCG